UACGGAGGGGGCUAGCGUUGUUCGGAAUUACUGGGCGUAAAGCGCACGUAGGCGGUUUUCCAAGUCAGAGGUGAAAGCCCAGGGCUCAACCCUGGAAUUGCCUUUGAGACUGGGAGACUUGAACACGGGAGAGGUGAGUGGAAUUCCGAGUGUAGAGGUGAAAUUCGUAGAUAUUCGGAAGAACACCAGUGGCGAAGGCGGCUUCCUGGCCCACUCUUGACGCUGAGGCGCGAAAGCUAGGGGAGCGAACGGG
rnacentral:rRNA from 1 species